AUUGAACGCUGGCGGCAUGCCUUACACAUGCAAGUCGAACGGUAACAGGUCUUCGGAUGCUGACGAGUGGCGAACGGGUGAGUAAUACAUCGGAACGUGCCUAGUAGUGGGGGAUAACUACUCGAAAGAGUGGCUAAUACCGCAUGAGAUCUACGGAUGAAAGCAGGGGAUCGCAAGACCUUGUGCUACUAGAGCGGCCGAUGGCAGAUUAGGUAGUUGGUGGGAUAAAAGCUUACCAAGCCGACGAUCUGUAGCUGGUCUGAGAGGACGAUCAGCCACACUGGGACUGAGACACGGCCCAGACUCCUACGGGAGGCAGCAGUGGGGAAUUUUGGGCAAUGGGCGCAAGCCUGAUCCAGCAAUGCCGCGUGCAGGAUGAAGGCCUUCGGGUUGUAAACUGCUUUUGUACGGAACGAAAAGCUCUGGGUUAAUACCCUGGGGUCAUGACGGUACCGUAAGAAUAAGCACCGGCUAACUACGUGCCAGCCGCCGCAGUAACAC
rnacentral:rRNA from 1 species